CUAGCUCUGGGUGUAGAAUUGUAUUGUGUGUAUAUAAGGUAUAGAGGCAAUGUGUUUCUGUCUGAAUGAGUGUGUAGUGUUUGUAUAGUUUUUGUGUGUGUGUUUAGCAAUAUGUGAUUGUGUGUAUACAUUGUCUAAGUGUCUGUACAGUACUCUGUGCAUACUGUGAAUCUGUGUCUGAUCAUGCACAAGUCUAAUAAUUCUGUCCACUCUUUCUCUAAGUCACAACUGGCUCUCUUAAAUGUGGCGCACAUUUUUUUUCAACCCUUCUCAUUUAGGGGUUAACAGAUUUACUAAUUAGCUACUACUUACAGUACAUAAUAAAUAAAUGUUUCUGAAUAUUUAUAUUUAUUUAUGUCCCUAACUGUCCCAUCUUCAUAAUUUAGCAGCUCUCCUCUCCCUCUAUAAACCCUCCAUGCACAGAGACCUGGCUUUUUACUUAGAGAUUUAUCUCUCUGUGUCAGUUUGUGGAGGGGGAGGAGGGAGUGAAGUCUGCUGACUGCAGAGCUGUAAACUACUGCUCUGCCUAUUAACCACUUCAGUGAUGGGAAUGUGGGCAGCUACAGCACAUUCAGAGAGCAGAACAGAGCACGCCUCAAUGUGCACAGAGUGAGGGUGGAAACAGGAGGAGAAAAACAAAUGGUCUGAGAAUAUUAUUAUUAUUAUUAUUUAUAUAGCGCCAUCAGAUUCCGUAGCGCUGUACAAUGGUUAUCUCGCAGAUCUGCAAGAAUGUAUCUCUCCUACUCUCAGAGUUCAAUCGGACAAAAAAUAACAGCCCUGGCAUUUGCUAGAAUGGCCGCCAUGAUACUCAGGUC